UAAAUAAAUAUUUCCCCAUUGAAAUUUAAAAUGACUUUUGGAAGCAAGGAGUUUGAUCCCCUUUUUACAGAUCAGAACCCCAAUACUAUGAAAUAUAUUUUAAUUCCCCAAGUCCUUAUCAAUUCUAUUUAGAUGAAUUUGUACAUGAACCUAGACUUUUAUAAAUCCAAAACCUAUGAAUAAUGUGUCAUGAAACUCUUGCUUUCAGGUAUGAGGAAGUGAAUGUCAUGUCAGAUCUAAAUACACACAUUUGUUGUGAAUAUAUAUUUGUUCAUGUAUAUAUACAACCAUAUAUAUAGUUAUGUAUUAUACAAAUAUCAGUUGUACAUUUAUAUAGAAAUUAUAUCAAUUAAUGCGUGAAGAUUCUGUACUAGGAGCUUUCAUCUCUUCUCUCUCAUUUAAUAAAAUAUUUUGUUCAAAGGUAGGAAGAAGCAGGCUGUCUUUCUUUGUCUCUUCUUGAGCUCGAGGAAACUCCCUAGCACCCCUAAAGCAAACCUCAUUGCUCAAGCUCCACCCAUUCCUAAGAAACACCCAAUUUAAAAAAAGCACUGGAGCUCACGUGUCACUGGAUAAGAAAAGAAACUCUGUGUCACAGCAUGUAAUUCUGAACUAUAUGAUUUUCCUAAAGGUCUUGGACUUCAGGUGAAAGACGUUCUGUCAGCCAGGAUUCAGGAACAUCCCUCAGGAAGAGAGAGCUACCUGCUGCUUUGUCUGUGUAUUGUGCCCAGAGAGAGAAAUAUGUAAU